UAACGAAUCUUCCGCAAUGGGCGCAAGCCUGACGGAGCAAUACCGCGUGUAGGAUGAAGCGUCUCUGACGUGUAAACUACUGUCAGGGGUCAGAAACAAUGAUUGACCCCCAAAGGAAGUGGCGACUAACUCUGUGCCAGCAGUCGCGGUAAUACAGAGGCCACGAGCGUUAGUCGGAAUCACUGGGCUUAAAGGGUGCGUAGGUGGGUCCGCAAGCGUCCUGUGAAAUACCUCAGCUCAACUGAGGAACAGCAGGGCGAACUGCGGGUCUUGAGGCAGGUAGGGGCUGGAAGAACGGUCGGUGGAGCGGUGAAAUGCGUAGAGAUCGACCGGAAUGCCGAUGGGGAAGCCGUCCAGCUGGGCCUGUCCUGACACUGAGGCACGAAAGCGUGGGGAGCAAACAGGAUUAGAUACCCGACGUAGUCCCUGAGCGGGCUGGCAAGGCGCAU
rnacentral:rRNA from 1 species